rnacentral:piRNA from 1 species
UGAUCUGUCAUCAACUUUUAUGCAUCCUGA